rnacentral:rRNA from 1 species
UAGGGAAUCUUCCACAAUGGGCGAAAGCCUGAUGGAGCAACGCCGCGUGUGUGAUGAAGGGUUUCGGCUCGUAAAACACUGUUGUAAGAGAAGAAUGACAUUGAGAGUAACUGUUCAAUGUGUGACGGUAUCUUACCAGAAAGGAACGGCUAAAUGCGUGCCAG